UACGUGGGUGGCAAGCGUUGUCCGGAUUUACUGGGCGUAAGGAGCGCGCAGGCGGUCGAAUAAGUCGAAUGUGAAAGCCCCCGGCUUAACUGGGGAGGGUCAUUCGAUACUGCUCGACUUGAAGGCAGGAGAGGGUAGUGGAAUUCCCGGUGUAGUGGUGAAAUGCGUAGAUAUCGGGAGGAACACCAGUGGCGAAGGCGACUACCUGGCCUGUUCUUGACGCUGAGGCACGAAAGCUAGGGUAGCAAACGGG
rnacentral:rRNA from 1 species